CCUACGGGAGGCAGCAGUGGGGGAUAUUGCACAAUGGGGGAAACCCUGAUGCAGCGACGCCGCGUGUGGGAAGACGGUCCUCUGGAUUGUAAACCACUGUCCCCAGGGACGAAGAUGACGGUACCUGGGGAGGCAGCUCCGGCUAACUACGUGCCAGCAGCCGCGGUAAUACGUAGGGAGCGAGCGUUGUCCGGAAUUACUGGGUGUAAGGGGAGCGUAGGCGGGACUGCAAGUUGGGUGUCAAAUCUACCGGCUCAACCGGUAGCCGCACUCAAAACUGCAGUUCUUGAGUGAAGUAGAGGCAGGCGGAAUUCCUAGUGUAGCGGUGAAAUGCGUAGAUAUUAGGAGGAACAUCAGUGGCGAAGGCGGCCUGCUGGGCUUUGACUGACGCUGAGGCUCGAAAGUGUGGGGAGCAAACAGGAUUAGAUACCCUGGUAGUC
rnacentral:rRNA from 1 species